rnacentral:misc_RNA from 1 species
AAAGUGCGAAAAGUGUCAUGACUUGCAGAUUCCCGAGAGCUGACAAAUCUCUGAAUGCAAAUGGCAGUCGCGUUAGACCCGACUAUGUAUUGUAGAGUGUAGAUGCUCCAGCUAUUCAUCAUGUAAUAUAUAGGUACAUAUGCGCAUUUUGUGUGUGUAUGUCUGUAUAUUACCAUGGAUCUGCGCUUGCGAGAGACCCCGCUCCUUCGCGAGUGUUAAAAGAAAAGGUCUACGAUGUGUAUAUACCCUAUACAUACUCGUGCACCGAUGAUCUAGGGAAGAGAGCUUUCUCUCUCGCCCCGAAACAAUCGGAUGUCAACUUUAUACUUGAGACCAACAAGACAACGCGUCUAUAUAUAUCUAUAUGAGCCACCUCUACAAUGCAUGAAAACCCGCUGAA